UACAGAGGGGGCAAGCGUUGUUCGGAAUUACUGGGCGUAAAGGGCGCGUAGGUGGCCUUCUAAGUUGAACGUGAAAUCCCUGGGCUCAACCCAGGAACUGCGUCCAAGACUGGGAGGCUUGAAUCCGGGAGAGGGAUGCGGAAUUCCAGGUGUAGCGGUGAAAUGCGUAGAUAUCUGGAGGAACACCGGUGGUGAAGGCGGCAUCCUGGACCGGUAUUGACGCUGAUGAGCGAAAAGCUAGGGUAGCAAACAGG
rnacentral:rRNA from 1 species